AUAGAAAUUAUGCACUUGCUAAAUAAGACAUUGCUAAAACUUCACACAUCCAUUCAGGAUCUCUCAGACAACCUAUCCCAGAAUACCACAUACAGAAAACCCAAGUCUUCAAUGGGUUGGAUGAUGCACACCCACCUUUCAGAGAGCCAUCUACUCUGCUCAGU